rnacentral:rRNA from 1 species
AUUGAACGCUGGCGGCAUGCCUUACACAUGCAAGUCGAACGGUAACAGGUCUUCGGAUGCUGACGAGUGGCGAACGGGUGAGUAAUACAUCGGAACGUGCCCAAUCGUGGGGGAUAACGAAGCGAAAGCUUUGCUAAUACCGCAUAAGAUCUAAGGAUGAAAGCAGGGGACCGCAAGGCCUUGCGCGAACGGAGCGGCCGAUGGCAGAUUAGGUAGUUGGUGGGAUAAAAGCUUACCAAGCCGACGAUCUGUAGCUGGUCUGAGAGGACGACCAGCCACACUGGGACUGAGACACGGCCCAGACUCCUACGGGAGGCAGCAGUGGGGAAUUUUGGACAAUGGGCGAAAGCCUGAUCCAGCCAUGCCGCGUGCAGGAUGAAGGCCUUCGGGUUGUAAACUGCUUUUGUACGGAACGAAAAGACUCUUUCUAAUAAAGAGGGUCCAUGACGGUACCGUAAGAAUAAGCACCGGCUAACUACGUGCCAGCCGCCGCGGUAAAAC